rnacentral:rRNA from 1 species
UGGGGAAUAUUGGACAAUGGAGGCAACUCUGAUCCAGCCAUGCCGCGUGAGUGAUGAAGGCCUUCGGGUUGUAAAGCUCUUUAGCUAGGGAAAAUAAUGAUUGUACCUAGAGAAUAAGCCCCGGCUAACUCUGUGCCAGCAGCCGCGGUAAUACAGAGGGGGCUAGCGUUGUUCGGAAUUACUGGGCGUAAAGCGUGCGUAGGCGGCUUUCCAAGUCAGGCGUGAAAUCCCGGGGCUUAACCUCGGAAUUGCGCUUGAAACUAGAAAGCUGGAGGACGAGAGAGGAUAGUAGAAUUCCUAGUGUAGGAGUGAAAUCCGUAGAUAUUAGGAGGAAUACCAGUGGCGAAGGCGGCUAUCUGGCUCGUUUCUGACGCUGAGGCACGAAAGCGUGGGUAGCAAA